GGGGGAUUCGCAGGGUACCAAAAAGUUACAAAACCAUUCACUCCGGAUGAGCUUUGAGAUGAUGGCAUGGCAAAGAUGUAAUUUCCCUUUUUUACCCAUGUAGUGAUUUGUGACUCCAGAUUUAGCUCAAGGAGUGGCACGUGAAAAAACUCUAAGCCUGGAGAUAAGAAGAGCAUCUGUAUUAAAAACGGAUCGAACUCCACAAGGUACAGAUUGAUUUUUGAUUUAUUCUUGAUUGUAGAAGUUAUCACAACUGCCUUGCGUUAUCUUUGGAAAUUGAUCUGUUAUUGGUGGUUUGAAUAUACUUAUGUAUGCUUAGCUACUGUCGCGCAUAUGCAAAAAGUGUAUGUUGUAAUUGCAAUCUUCAAUAUGGAACUUGCAUUUAUGACAUGUCAUUGCCUUGACUUUCACACUCCGGAAAACAUGGCAGAUGUCAAAGUGCAA